GUUAACUCCCACCCCUCAGCACAGCCUCUGAAAUUCAUUCGUCCCCCUCCCUGUGAAUCCUCGCAAGAAGAUCCCCUGCGCUCUCCCGAGAGAAGGAAGUGAAGUUGCAGAGGAAUAGCGCCUGGGAGCGAUUGCCGGCUUCCUGUUGCACUCUCCCCGCUGAACUUGACGGUGUCUUCCACUCGUCCUGACCACG
rnacentral:lncRNA from 1 species